CCCUAGUAGCGGCGAGCGAGCGGGAAGAGCUCAAAUUUAUAAUCUGGCACCUUCGGUGUCCGAGUUGUAAUCUCUAGAAGUGUUUUCCGCGUUGGACCGCACACAAGUCUGUUGGAAUACAGCGGCAUAGUGGUGAAACCCCCGUAUAUGGUGCGGACGCCCAGCGCUUUGUGAUACACUUUCAAUGAGUCGAGUUGUUUGGGAAUGCAGCUCAAAUUGGGUGGUAAAUUCCAUCUAAAGCUAAAUAUUGGCGAGAGACCGAUAGCGAACAAGUACCGUGAGGGAAAGAUGAAAAGCACUUUGGAAAGAGAGUUAACAGUACGUGAAAUUGUUGGAAGGGAAACGCUUGAAGUCAGACUUGCUUGCCGGAGCUUGCUUCGGUUUGCAGGCCAGCAUCAGUUUUCCGGGGUGGAUAAUGACGGUUUGAAGGUAGCAGUCUCGGCUGUGUUAUAGCUUUCCGUUGGAUACAUCCUGGGGGACUGAGGAACGCAGCGUGCUUUUUGCGAAAGACUCGUCUUUUUCACGCUUAGGAUGCUGGUGGAAUGGCUUUAAACGACCCGUCUUGAAACCACGGACCAC
rnacentral:rRNA from 1 species